AUCCUCCGUGAAUCCACUACCGCUACCAGAUAUCUUUUUUUUAAAGGUAAAAUAGAAAGAAAUAAAACUACCAAGGGUACCAAUAAUGUAAAAAGUAAGAUGGAAACCCAUCCUGGGAGUUCAACGUCUAUCCACUUGACUUUAGCGGAAGAAAAAACUACUGAUAAAAGACUAGUGUAAUUUUGCCAGAGAUCAAAUACUUCAGUGUCUAACUUAUCAAAGAAGCAAAUAAAACUAAAAGAUAGCCUAAUGUUAACAGAUCCUUAGAACUUUCCUCCUCCAUACUUGAGCUAACGUGAAACAGUGCGUAGCAACAUCGUGAAAUCACAGCUCAUUAUCAGCAGUUGUUUUCUUUCCAUUCACAGCAACCAGCUCAGUGUCGAAGACAAGAGUUGCACCACCUGGGAUCUUUGGUGGAGAUCCACUCUCUCCAUAACCAAGUUUAGCAGGAAUUUUCAACUUUCGCUUCUCUCCCACACACAUUCCAAGAAGUCCCUGAUCCCAACCUUUAAUCACUUGACCGCUUCCAAGUUCAAAUUCAAUGGGGUCAUUCCUCUCAUAGCUAGAAUCAAACACAGUUCCAUCUGUAAGUUUUCCACUGUAGUGUACUGAAACUCUAUCUCCCUUGUGAGCCUUAAGUUCACAAGAUGUUGGCUUAAACUUCACACCGAUCUGCAACUCCGUAACAUCGCCUGACUUUUUAGCGGUAACUAGAGUAACAAGAAGAAAAACAAUGAACAAAGUAGUGGGAUUGAUUGCUCGGCCGAAUUCCAUCGUCGAUUUUGUUUCUUCACACUGCCCUUCUUUCCUUCCG
rnacentral:misc_RNA from 1 species